ACAAAAGCAAUGAAGGGUAGCAGUAAAUAAGUUUUCAUUUUAAGAGAGUGGAUGGUUGGUGUGAAUCCAUAAUGAAAGUUAUUGAAUCCGACCUGAAGCUGUGUAGGAGUAACAACCUAUGCCGGAGUUAUCCGUUAUAUAAUGAGGCUGCUGUAAUGCAGUAAACUAAGGUGGUACCACGUAGAUAUGUAAGAAUAUAUCUCCGUCCUUGAU
rfam:Clostridium botulinum D str. 1873 CLG.Contig180, whole genome shotgun sequence.